rnacentral:rRNA from 1 species
GGAAGAGCUCAAAUUUGAAAGCUGGCGUCCUACGGGCGUCCGCAUUGUAAUCUAUAGAGGCGUUUUCUGUGCUGGACCGUGUCCAAGUCCCUUGGAACAGGGUAUCAAAGAGGGUGACAAUCCCGUACUUGACACGACAACCAGUGCUCUGUGAUACGCCUUCUACGAGUCGAGUUGUUUGGGAAUGCAGCUCAAAAUGGGUGGUGAAUUCCAUCUAAAGCUAAAUAUUGGCGAGAGACCGAUAGCGAACAAGUACCGUGAGGGAAAGAUGAAAAGCACUUUGGAAAGAGAGUUAAACAGUAUGUGAAAUUGUUGAAAGGGAAACGAUGGAGGUCAGUCGUGUCUGUGGGAUUCAGCCGUGUCUGGCGGUGUACUUCCCACAGACGGGUCAACAUCAGUUUUGGCUGGCGGAU